rnacentral:rRNA from 1 species
AUGGAGGCCGUGCGCGCGUCGGCGGCCUGGGUGGCCAGCCGCUCCUCCCACGUCAAGGUCGACAUGCUAGAGAUUGAGAAGGCCGUGGAUAAAAUUCAGGGAAAUGUUCCAAAAGUUGAGUGGGAUUUUGAAGGAAUUCAUUACUUUGACAAUGGACCGCUCACUGUGCAGUACCUCUUCGUCUUGGACGCACUGAACUUUUGCUUCUGGCCAGACAAGGACUUGACCUAUGACAAUUUGGCUUCUGGACUCAAGUUAGCAUUAGAGAAAGAUAAGUCAGCACUUGAUGCAGAUCGUCUGAAGAAUUAUACUGGACCGCAACUUCGAGAACUGCUGAAUUGGCCACGCCCACUGCCAAUUGAGGAGGAAAGAGUCCGCCUUCUUCAUGAGGUUGGUCUGGAGCUUGAAAGAAGCUUUGGCAGCGAGGCUGCUAAUCUUGUGAAGUCUGCUGGAAACUCUGCUGCAUCUCUGAUUGAACUGAUUACCCGUCACUUUCCUGGGUUUCGUGACCACUCACUUUAUAAGGGACACCAGGUUUUCCUGUACAAGCGAGCCCAGAUAUUCGUUGCUGAUUUGUGGGGUGCUUUCAAGGGGGAAAACUACGGAGAGUUCUACGACAUCAAGUCCAUCACCAUCUUUGCCGACUAUAUUGUCCCUGCUGUGCUGAGGGAGCUUGGCAUCCUGAAUUACGAGUCUAGCCUAUGUUGCUCCAUCGACUCAAACAGCGAGAUUGUGCCUGGAAGCGAAGAGGAAGUGGAGAUUCGUGCCUGUUCUGUUCAUGCCGUUGAAAAAAUGAGGGAGCUCAUCAACAAAAAGUUUGGGAAGCAGCUUCUGAGCAUUGACAUUGACCUCUGGCUCUGGUCGGUAGGCGUUCAGAACAUGGCGCUGUCUCAUCACCGCACCCUCUCCAUUUACUACUGA